AUCAGUGUGGUGCAGUGGUUUGAGCAUUGGUCUCUAACUCUGGAGAACAGGGUUCGAAUCCCUGCUCAGCCA